UCCCCGCAAGUAAAAAGCAGACUUCCCGAGUCGUCCCCAAGAUAGCGGAGACGGCUCUCUCAGGGUUUUUCAGAGAAUGAUUUUUUUUUUUCGGUGAUAAGGCAGUAGAGACAUCCCCUGAAAGAGCGGAGUCGACUCUCUCAGGGAAUUCCAGAAGACAUGUUUUUCUGAGAUAAAGAAGCGGAGUCGUCCCCGAGGGAGCGGAGUCGUCCCCAUUCAAAAAGUGCAAACAAGCCGAGACAUCCCCGUAAAGUGCAGAGACGACCCUCUCAGCAAAUCAGAAAGGCAAGGAUUCAAACGGUACAAUUCCAGAGUCGUCCC
rnacentral:lncRNA from 1 species